UAGGACGAUGUUUCGAAAAGUACGGGAAUGCAAAUGCCUUGACCUUUAUGGUUUUUAGGUUUGAGCUCUUCUUUCAAACUGGUAUUUCAGCGACACCAUUUGACUUCGUAAAUUUUUAUCUCUUACAAGUUUUAUGUUUGCAUGGAGGGCUUUCACUUUUUCUGAAUACACUUGAUAAUAUCCGGAGCUUGGAUUGGCUACAGGAGGUGUCACACAACGGACCAAUGUGUGAUUUACUAUGGUCCCCAUGAUCGAUGUGGGUUGGUUAUACAUUUGGACAGCUCAAUUCAAUGUUAACAAUGGACUCAAUGUCACAUCAAGAGCACAUCAAGCUUCUCAUGGAAGGUUUUAACUGGUGCAGGUGUGUAUGUUCAUUUCAAUUGCUCAGGGCUCUAACAAGGCGAUUCUAAAGAUAAGAGAGGAGCAGAAUUUCGUCCAGUUUGAUCCAGCUCCUCGACAAGCCGAAAUACCACCAUUCCUAAAACCUAUACAACGGCAUUUGCUCAGCAUCUACAAUGGAAUCGUGAUGGGUUUUACUAAUCACAACCGAGAGCUUUCUUAAUGUCUAUUUGGUAUGUUUCUAACCUCAAAUUUCAAUAAUCUCCAAGUAGAACCUGCAGGUUUUUAAAAAGGAUCACAAGACUAAAUUAUAAACAAUAGGAAACCCUGAAGAAACUACCUCUCAACAACUUCCACCUCUUGAAAUUGGAUUAAAUGUAGGGAGUUCCUUUCCGCAGUUGAUUAUUUGGCCAAAACAUCAGAAGCAUAAGGCCAAGUUCUGACAUGCGCAUGGUAUACAUUGUAUUGGCUUUCCUGUAUCUUCUACCAAAUGUUUCCUCCCAUUGAGCAGUAGUAUUAAAAAAACUCAGUAUCGAGUUUGUUACAUUAGCCUCGGUGAGAAUCUUUGUAAUCAUGCACGUAACACCUUACCAAGAGCUUCUCCAAAUCAUUACCAUAAGCUACCAGGAGGAGCAGAUGUAUGUGCCAAAAAAGGAAUUCGUGCGUCACAGUUAAAAAUAUUU